ACCUUGGUACUUCAGCCAAAAACUUUUCUGCCUUAGCAGGCCUCAUGACAAUGCUCUCCUUCACUCCACCCCCAGGCUGGCACACAUGUUGUGUACUUAUGGUUGGAAUAUGCUUUCAUCCUUGUUCUUCUAAAUGUCCAUUUGAACCUGAGCUAUCCAGCUUUUCUUUUAAACUGCAGGUUUGCUUUCCUGACUUUAUGGGCGUGGCUUUGCAUGAAGGCUGUGGCUUAAACUGUGUCAGAUGUGGUGGAGCCAAUGCUGACCAUCAGUCUGCGAAUAUUUAAACUGGAUUCGACAUAUACGAAGAUCAGAUGGCUGAGCCCAUAGCAACCAUUCUGCUGGCUGUCAAAUUGAUGACAAGGGUGAGAAAUGCAAACCCUUCUAACUGGCCCUCCCUGCACUGUUUUUCUCUUGACAAAAUUGCCUUCUGCACUUGCUUUACUGUUUUACUGAGUUUUGUUUGUGCUCAUUACAGUUUUUCCCAAAAAAAAAAACUAGGAAUGUUUUUCCACAUAUAAGUCCAGGUUCAGUUCUUUUAUCUAAAGGUUGUGGAACCGAAGAGCUGUUUGUGACACCACCUGUAAUGAAAGUGAGUGGAUGACAAUAUUAAAGGUGGUCAGAAUGCCACUCAGCAAAGCUUGGACUACUCUGGUGAACUGGGUGAUGGAAGCAGCUACCUGGAAGUGUGGUUGCAUCUUUACCAAGGAGCGUGCUGAUGUAAGGGCUUCCAGGAAUGGAUGAGACAUGUGGUCAUCCUGGAGCAUGUGUGCCAAAAGCAGUCCUACAUGGCCACGGCAAAAGCCUUACACUCAAUUCAUGUUGUGGACAUAUCAAGAUGGCCAAAGGUUCAGCGUGCUGACUUCCAGCAAGGGAAACCAGCUGCAGGGACAUCACAGGUAACUGUCCAUUGUACAAAUAUCCCAAUAUUUGGUGUAUCAGGACACACCCCAAAGAGUUUUGAUCACAAUCCCAGCAAUUGCUUGUGCAACAGAAAGGCUCUUCAGCUUCUCAGAUAUGAUUAAGAUGGGCUGUGUGAACAAGGAGUGUGAUGAUUCACUUACACGUGUUGUCAGUUGAACAAAGUCCUGUGUGUCUGUGU